rnacentral:rRNA from 1 species
UACGUAGGGUGCGAGCGUUGUCCGGAAUUAUUGGGCGUAAAGAGCUUGUAGGCGGUUUGUCGCGUCUGCUGUGAAAAUCCGGGGCUCAACCCCGGACUUGCAGUGGGUACGGGCAGACUAGAGUGCGGCAGGGGAGACUGGAAUUCCUGGUGUAGCGGUGAAAUGCGCAGAUAUCAGGAGGAACACCGGUGGCGAAGGCGGGUCUCUGGGUAGUAACUGACGCUGAGGAACGAAAGCGUGGGUAGCGAACAGG